GCGACCCCAGGUCAGGCGGGGCCACCCGCUGAGU
rnacentral:rRNA from 1 species